rnacentral:rRNA from 1 species
GACGAACCGUGCGAACGUUAUUCGGAAUCACUGGGCUUAAAGGGCGCGUAGGCGGGUCUUCAAGUCCGGGGUGAAAUCCCACGGCCCAACCGUGGAAGUGCCUUGGAUACUGAGGACCUCGAGGGGGAUAGGGGCGUGCGGAACUCAGGGUGGAGCGGUGAAAUGCGUAGAUAUCCUGAGGAACACCGGUGGCGAAAGCGGCGCGCUGGAUCCCUUCUGACGCUGAGGCGCGAAAGCCAGGGGAGCAAACGGG